rnacentral:rRNA from 1 species
UACAGAGGUCUCAAGCGUUGUUCGGAUUCAUUGGGCGUAAAGGGUGUGUAGGUGGCGCGCUAAGUCGGGUGUGAAAUUUCGGAGCUUAACUCCGAAACUGCAUUCGAUACUGGCGUGCUUGAGGACUGGAGAGGAGACUGGAAUUCAUGGUGUAGCAGUGAAAUGCGUAGAGAUCAAUGGACGAAGACCAGUGGCGAAGGCGGAGUCCUGGACAAGUUC